rnacentral:rRNA from 1 species
GAUGAACGCUGGCGGCGUGCUUAACACAUGCAAUUCGACCGAACGGCCACUACUUUUGUUUCUUGCUCGUUAGGGGCGCGGGUGGGUAACACGUGUGUAAACCGCCCUUGACUUACGGGGAAAAUUUGGAAAAUCGGGAGCAAACCCGGUAGAAUCUUCUGACCCCCUUGGUUGAUAGGAAAAUGCCGGCUUUGGGGUAUGUAAUCGCGGAUUCCGCGCUGCAUUAGCUGGUUGUUAAGUUAACGGCUUACCACGGCAAGCAUGCAUGGCCGACCUGAGAGGGUGAUAGGCCACACUGGAACGGAGACACGGUCCAGACUCCUACGGGAGGCAGCAGUAGGGAAUCUGCCGCAAUGGGCGAAAGCCUGACGGAGCAACGCCGCGUGAGUGAUGAAGGUCUUCGGAUCGUAAAACUCUGUUAUUAGGGAAGAACAUAUGUGUAAGUAACUGUGCACAUAUUGACGGUACCUAAUCAGAAAGCCACGGCUAACUACGUG